CCGUGCCCAAGAGAUCGGGAUAACACCUGGAAACAGAUGCUAAUACCGGAUAACAACAGAUGAUGCCUAUCAACUGUUUAAAAGAUGGUUCUGCUAUCACUCUUGGAUGGACCUGCGGUGCAUUAGCUAGUUGGUAGGGUAACGGCCUACCAAGGCGAUGAUGCAUAGCCGAGUUGAGAGACUGAUCGACCACAUUGGGACUGAGACACUGCCCAAACUCCUACGGGAGGCAGCAGCG
rnacentral:rRNA from 1 species